GAUGAAGAACGUAGCGAAAUGCGAUAAGUAAUGUGAAUUGCAGAAUUCAGUGAAUCAUCGAAUCUUUGAACGCACAUUGCGCCCUCUGGUAUUCCGGGGGGCAUGCCUGUUCGAGCGUCAUUAUAACCACUCAAGCUCUCGCUUGGUAUUGGGGCUCGCGGUUCCGCGGCCCCUAAAAUCAGUGGCGGUGCCUGUCGGCUCUACGCGUAGUAAUACUCCUCGCGAUUGAGUCCGGUAGGUCUACUUGCCAGCAACCCCCAAUUUUUACAGGUUGACCUCGGAUCAGGUAGGGAUACCCGCUGAACUUAAGCAUAUCAAAAGCGGAGGA
rnacentral:misc_RNA from 1 species